rnacentral:rRNA from 1 species
UACGUAGGUCCCGAGCGUUGUCCGGAUUUAUUGGGCGUAAAGCGAGCGCAGGUGGUUUAUUAAGUCUGGUGUAAAAGGCAGUGGCUCAACCAUUGUACGCAUUGGAAACUGGUAGACUUGAGUGCAGGAGAGGAGAGUGGAAUUCCAUGUGUAGCGGUGAAAUGCGUAGAUAUAUGGAGGAACACCGGUGGCGAAAGCGGCUCUCUGGCCUGUAACUGACACUGAGGCUCGAAAGCGUGGGGAGCAAACAGG